rnacentral:rRNA from 1 species
UACAGAGGUCUCAAGCGUUGUUCGGAUUCAUUGGGCGUAAAGAGCUCGUAGGCGGUCUGUCGCGUCGGUCGUGAAAACCUGCAGCUUAACUGUGGGCUUGCGGUCGAUACGGGCAUGACUGGAGUUCGGCAGGGGAGACUGGAAUUCCUGGUGUAGCGGUGAAAUGCGCAGAUAUCAGGAGGAACACCGGUGGCGAAGGCGGGGUCUCUGGGCCGAUACUGACGCUGGAGGAGCGAAAGCCGUUGGGGAGCGAACAGG